rnacentral:rRNA from 1 species
UACAGAGGGGGCAAGCGUUGUUCGGAAUUACUGGGCGUAAAGGGCGCGUAGGCGGUCAGCACAAGUCAGUUGUGAAAUCUCCGGGCUUAACUCGGAAAGGUCAACUGAUACUGUGCGACUAGAGUGCAGAAGGGGCAACUGGAAUUCCCAGUGUAGAGGUGAAAUUCGUAGAUAUUGGGAAGAACACCAGUGGCGAAGGCGGCUAACUGGUCCAGUACUGACGCUGAGGUGCGAAAGCGUGGGGAGCAAACAGG